UGCCAGCCGCCGCGGUAAUACGGAGGGUGCAAGCGUUGUUCGGAAUUAUUGGGCGUAAAGCGCGUGUAGGUGGCCAAGUCAGUCAGAUGUGAAAGCCCUGGGCUCAACCCAGGAACUGCAUCUGAAACUGCCGGCCUUGAGUGUCGGAGAGGGAAGCGGAAUUCCUGGUGUAGAGGUGAAAUUCGUAGAUAUCAGGAGGAACACCUGUGGCGAAGGCGGCUUCCUGGACGACUACUGACGCUGAGACGCGAAAGCGUGGGGAGCAAACAGGAUUAGAUA
rnacentral:rRNA from 1 species